rnacentral:rRNA from 2 species
CAUCCGGUCGAUCCUGCCGGAGCGCGACGCUCUCCCCAAGGACGAAGCCAUGCAUGCCCGCUCACCCGGGACGCGGCGGACGGCUCAGGACAACGGUUGCACCCCCCGCGGCGGUCCCUGCUAGCCGGACACCGCUGGCAACCCGGCGCCAAGACGUGCGCGCAAGGGCGGGCGCCCGCGGGCGAGCAGCGUGACGCAGCGACGGCCCGCCCGGGCUUCCGGGGCAUCACCCGGUCGGCGCGGUCGCGGCGCGCCGAGGGCCCGACGCCUGGCGGAGAAUCAGGGUUCGACUCCGGAGAGCGGGCCUGCGAGACGGCCCGCACAUCCAAGGACGGCAGCAGGCGCGGAACUUGCCCAAUGCGCGGCGCGCGAGGCAGCGACGGGGAGCGCGCGAGCGAGGCGGGCCCACAGCCCCCGCCGCGGAGCCGAGGGCAAGGUCUGGUGCCAGCAGCCGCGGUAAUUCCAGCUCGGCGAGCGUCGCGCGGCGCUGCUGCAGUUGAAACGCCCGUAGUUGGCCCCCCGCCGCCACGAGGAAACGGGAGCGCUCCAGGCAGGCCCGUUGUAACCGCCGCGUGGGACCGCGCAGCGGGCGCGGCGCGC